rnacentral:rRNA from 1 species
GACGAACGCUGGCGGCGGGCCUAACACAUGCAAGUCAAACGAGCAGUCCUUCGGGAUGGGCGAGUGGCGCACGGGUGAGUAACACGUAGAGAAUCUACCCUUAAGUGGGGAAUAACCACUGGAAACGGUGGCUAAUACCGCAUAUUGACUUUAUACCGCAUGGUAUUUGGUUGAAAGCCUUCGGGCGCUUAAGGAUGACUCUGCGGCGGAUUAGCUAGUUGGUGAGGUAAAGGCUCACCAAGGCGACGAUCCGUAGCUGGUCUGAGAGGAUGAUCAGCCACACUGGCACUGACACACGGGCCAGACUCCUACGGGAGGCAGCAGUGAGGAAUAUUGGACAAUGGGCGAAAGCCUGAUCCAGCCACGCCGCGUGCAGGAUGAAGUCCCUCUGGGGCGUAAACUGCUUUUAUAUGGGAAUAAAAAGAUGGUCGCCAUUAUUGAAGGUACCAUAUGAAUAAGCACCGGCUAACUACGUG